CUGCAAAUAUUCUUGCUGUUCUGAUUUUAUAAUAAUCAAGACAGGCUAAACAUUUGCUAUAUAAAAACUAUGCAUGUGUCCUCAGACCUAGUUCUUUCCUAGGUUUGGUAUCAUAAAUGCUGGUGAUAAAC